ensembl:lincRNA
GGGGAAGCAGUUAAUCACACUUUUGUGCGGAUAGUUGUAACUUCUCAAGUAUCCAAUCUAUGGAGAAACAGAAGAAGCGCUUGCGUGCUAGGCUUAGGGGUAUAAAUUGUGUCAUUCUUCUUUGUUUGGCAUGCCAGCCACGUUUUCUGGUUGUGCGCCCCUUCUCGCAAGAUUGAGAAUAAAUUCUUUUCUUCUCCACAAUCGGGUGAGCCUUAUUUUCUUCCAGAAGAAGAUUUCUUUCUUACAUGAUAUAUACAGGAUUCUUUAAAAAACUUGGAGUCCGUUGGAUGCUUUCAUUUUCAAGGAACAGAAAACUCAACUCCAAUGGACAUAGAAAUAAAAGAAACUUCCCGAUGGAACUGAAAUGUCUCGAGGAAUUACAGCUUCAAACACAGCGCAGUCAAGGAAGAAGCCUGUUAAAUCUGCUGGAAUCUGCAGGCUUAAGAACCUGGGAUGAAAACCGUGCAGGCACCAACUCCGGUUUGGGUGAAGCAUACUGUUUCCAGCACUUGGGAUGCAUGUAACAGGAUUGACAAGUUCUGCUCUAAGGAAUAAGAAACUGCUCCUGCCUUCAGGGA